UACGAAGGGGGCUAGCGUUGUUCGGAAUUACUGGGCGUAAAGCGCGCGCAGGCGGUGAUGUAAGUCAGAGGUGAAAUCCCAGGCUCAACCCUGGAAUCGCCUUUGAAACUGCAUCGCUAGAAUAUGAGAGAGGGUAGUGGAAUUCCGAAUGUAGCGGUGAAAUGCGUAGAUAUUCGGAGGAACACCGAUGGCGAAGGCAGCUACCUGGCUCAUUAUUGACGCUGAGGCGCGAAAGCGUGGGGAGCAAACAGG
rnacentral:rRNA from 1 species